UACGUAGGGUGCGAGCGUUAAUCGGAAUUACUGGGCGUAAAGCGUGCGCAGGCGGUUCGUUGUGUCGGCGGUGAAAGCCCCGGGCUUAACCUGGGAAUGGCCGUUGAAACUGGCGAACUGGAGUGUGGCAGAGGGGGGUGGAAUUCCGCGUGUAGCAGGUGAAAUGCGUAGAGAUGCGGAGGAACACCGAUGGCGAAGGCAGCCCCCUGGGCUAACACUGACGCUCAGGCACGAAAGCGUGGGGAGCAAACAGG
rnacentral:rRNA from 1 species